UUGGGGAUAGCGUGUAUGAAGUCCAACUAUUAACUGAGGAUGAAGCUCUUGAAUUGUUCAGUAGGCAUGCUUUUAGAGAAAAAUCACCAAAGAAAGAUUUUAUGGAACUUUCAAGACAAGUGGUGAAGUAUGCUGGUCGACUCCCUUUAGCUCUUAAAGUUUUGGGUUCUUCUUUUUACAGACGAGAGAAAAAGCAGUGGAGAGACAUAAUUGAUCAGCUGAAGAGAAUCCCUCACAAUGAUAUUCUAGGAAAGCUUAGGCUUAGUUUUGAUGGACUGAAUAAAGAUGAGAAGGAAAUAUUUCUAGAUAUUGCAUUUGCAAGCAUCUGCUGAUCAUACCAUUGCAACAGACAGGGGACUACAUUCGGAUAUGAGAAUAAAGAUGUAGAGGUGGAUCAAGCAGCAAUGGCAGUUCAAAAGGAACAUGAAUCUCAGAAUGUUGAGCUGACUAGAGUUUGUGAUACCCCUUCAAGGAAAAUGGACGAUGCUUCAAGAAAGAGAAAGAGGAAAAGAAAUAGAAAGAGAAAGAGAAAGAUAGCUAGGACAGAUGAGACUAGCUGCUCUCAUUGCACCAAUUAGCUUGCAUGACUUUGAUGGAUUGUGAGAAGCCUCUUACUGUGCUAGAAAAAAGGGUUACCCGAAGGAGAAAAUCGAGGAAGAAUCUAUGGAAUUGGAUUUUAAGAACAAAGAAGAUGUGAUGGAGCAACUACUCCGACAUGAAAGCCAAGUGUGAGGAGCUAUGCAAGUGAAGGCUUUCAAGUUACAUGAUUAACUUUUGGUAUUUCAAGGGACAUGGCAAAAAAGGAGGAAACUGAAAGAUAGUUUCAAG